rnacentral:rRNA from 1 species
AGAGCGAACGCUGGCGGCAGGCUUAACACAUGCAAGUCGAGCGGGCGUAGCAAUACGUCAGCGGCAGACGGGUGAGUAACGCGUGGGAACAUACCUUUUGGUUCGGAACAACCCAGGGAAACUUGGGCUAAUACCGGAUAAGCCCUUACGGGGAAAGAUUUAUCGCCGAAAGAUUGGCCCGCGUCUGAUUAGCUAGUUGGUGAGGUAACGGCUCACCAAGGCGACGAUCAGUAGCUGGUCUGAGAGGAUGAUCAGCCACAUUGGGACUGAGACACGGCCCAAACUCCUACGGGAGGCAGCAGUGGGGAAUAUUGGACAAUGGGCGCAAGCCUGAUCCAGCCAUGCCGCGUGAGUGAUGAAGGCCCUAGGGUUGUAAAGCUUCUUUUGUGCGGGAAGAUAAUGACGGUACCGCAAGAAUAAGCCCCGGCUAACUUCGUGCCAGCAGCCGC